UACAGAGGGUGCAAGCGUUGUUCGGAAUUAUUGGGCGUAAAGCGCGUGUAGGCGGCUUUGCAAGUCGGGUGUGAAAUCCCUCGGCUCAACCGAGGAACUGCGCCCGAUACUGUAGUGCUUGAGGGAGACAGAGGUAAGCGGAACUGAUGGUGGAGCGGUGAAAUGCGUUGAUAUCAUCAGGAACACCGGUGGCGAAAGCGGCUUACUGGGUCUCUUCUGACGCUGAGGUACGAAAGCUAGGGGAGCGAACGGG
rnacentral:rRNA from 1 species